AGUCGAACGGUGAAGCCCCGCUUGCGGGGUGGAUCAGUGGCGAACGGGUGAGUAACACGUGAGCAACCUGCCCCUGACUCUGGGAUAAGCGCUGGAAACGGCGUCUAAUACUGGAUACGAGACGUGAUCGCAUGGUCAACGUUUGGAAAGAUUUUUCGGUUGGGGAUGGGCUCGCGGCCUAUCAGCUUGUUGGUGAGGUAAUGGCUCACCAAGGCGUCGACGGGUAGCCGGCCUGAGAGGGUGACCGGCCACACUGGGACUGAGACACGGCCCAGACUCCUACGGGAGGCAGCAGUGGGGAAUAUUGCACAAUGGGCGCAAGCCUGAUGCAGCAACGCCGCGUGAGGGAUGACGGCCUUCGGGUUGUAAACCUCUUUUAGCAGGGAAGAAGCGAGAGUGACGGUACCUGCAGAAAAAGCACCGGCUAACUACGUGCCAGCAGCCGCGGUAAUACGUAGGGUGCAAGCGUUAUCCGGAAUUAUUGGGCGUAAAGAGCUCGUAGGCGGUUUGUCGCGUCUGCUGUGAAAUCUGGGGGCUCAACCCCCAGCCUGCAGUGGGUACGGGCAGACUAGAGUGCGGUAGGGGAGAUUGGAAUUCCUGGUGUAGCGGUGGAAUGCGCAGAUAUCAGGAGGAACACCGAUGGCGAAGGCAGAUCUCUGGGCCGUAACUGACGCUGAGGAGCGAAAGGGUGGGGAGCAAACAGGCUUAGAUACCCUGGUAGUCCACCCCGUAAACGUUGGGAACUAGUUGUGGGGUCCAUUCCACGGAUUCCGUGACGCAGCUAACGCAUUAAGUUCCCCGCCUGGGGAGUACGGCCGCAAGGUA
rnacentral:rRNA from 1 species